AAGGGAGCGUAGGUGGACUGGUAAGUCAGUUGUGAAAGUUUGCGGCUCAACCGUAAAAUUGCAGUUGAUACUGUCAGUCUUGAGUACAGUAGAGGUGGGCGGAAUUCGUGGUGUAGCGGUGAAAUGCUUAGAUAUCACGAAGAACUCCGAUUGCGAAGGCAGCUCACUGGACUGCAACUGACACUGAUGCUCGAAAGUGUGGGUAUCAAACAGGAUUAGAUACCCUGGUAGUCCACACAGUAAACGAUGAAUACUCGCUGUUUGCGAUAUACAGUAAGCGGCCAAGCGAAAGCAUUAAGUAUUCCACCUGGGGAGUACGCCGGCAACGGUGAAACUCAAAGGAAUUGACGGGGGCCCGCACAAGCGGAGGAACAUGUGGUUUAAUUCGAUGAUACGCGAGGAACCUUACCCGGGCUUAAAUUGCAGUGGAAUGAUGUGGAAACAUGUCAGUGAGCAAUCACCGCUGUGAAGGUGCUGCAUGGUUGUCGUCAGCUCGUGCCGUGAGGUGUCGGCUUAAGUGCCAUAACGAGCGCAACCCUUAUCUUUAGUUACUAACAGGUUAUGCUGAGGACUCUAGAGAGACUGCCGUCGUAAGAUGUGAGGAAGGUGGGGAUGACGUCAAAUCAGCACGGCCCUUACGUCCGGGGCUACACACGUGUUACAAUGGGGGGUACAGAAGGCAGCUAGCGGGUGACCGUAUGCUAAUCCCAAAAUCCUCUCUCAGUUCGGAUCGAAGUCUGCAACCCGACUUCGUGAAGCUGGAUUCGCUAGUAAUCGCGCAUCAGCCACGGCGCGGUGAAUACGUUCCCGGGCCUUGUACACACCGCCCGUCAAGCCAUGGGAGCCGGGGGUACCUGAAGUACGUAACCGCAAGGAUCGUCCUAGGGUAAAACUGGUGACUGGGG
rnacentral:rRNA from 1 species